UACGUAGGGGGCUAGCGUUAUCCGGAAUUACUGGGCGUAAAGGGUGCGUAGGUGGUUUCUUAAGUCAGAGGUGAAAGGCUACGGCUCAACCGUAGUAAGCCUUUGAAACUGGGGAACUUGAGUGCAGGAGAGGAGAGUGGAAUUCCUAGUGUAGCGGUGGAAUGCGUAGAUAUUAGGAGGAACACCAGUUGCGAAGGCGGCUCUCUGGACUGUAACUGACACUGAGGCACGAAAGCGUGGGGAGCAAACAGG
rnacentral:rRNA from 1 species